rnacentral:rRNA from 1 species
UGGGGAAUUUUGGGCAAUGGGCGAAAGCCUGAUCCAGCAAUGCCGCGUGAGUGAAGAAGGCCUUCGGGUUGUAAAGCUCUUUCACCGGUGAAGAUAAUGACGGUAACCGGAGAAGAAGCCCCGGCUAACUACGUGCCAGCAGCCGCGGUAAUACGUAGGGUGCAAGCGUUAAUCUGAAUUACUGGGCGUAAAGCGUGCGCAGGCGGUUAUGCAAGACAGAUGUGAAAUCCCCGGGCUCAACCUGGAACUGCAUUUGUGACUGCAUAGCUGGAGUGCGGCAGAGGGGGAUGGAAUUCCGCGUGUAGCAGUGAAAUGCGUAGAUAUGCGGAGGAACACCGAUGGCGAAGGCAAUCCCCUGGGCCUGCACUGACGCUCAUGCACGAAAGCGUGGGGAGCAAACA